GGGAGUUUGGCCGAGUGGUUAAGGCGUUGUGUUUAGGUCUUCUGUUUCGACUUCCGUCAGGACACCCGAAGCCCCGCAAUGGGAAACCGCGCAGGUUCGAAUCCUGCAGCUCUCA
rnacentral:tRNA from 1 species